UGGCUUAAUUUGACUCAACGCGGGAAAUCUUACCGGGUCCGGACACACUGAGGAUUGACAGAUAUAUAUACACCGUCGGUACUUGUAUCGCGGUGUUGAAAGAUGCUAGUUCUUUCAUGAUUAUGUGAUAGGUGGUGCAUGGCCGUUCUUAGUUCGUGGAGUGAUCUGUCUGCUUAAUUGCGUAUCAUAAAAAGAGACCUAGUAUACGCGUAAGAUAUCGUUUACGGUUCGUGACCCCCUUCGGGCGUGUGUCGCACGUACGUAUCAUACGCACUGGUCUCCGAUAGCAACGAACGUGACCGUACUCUAUUGUUGCAGCGAAUGUAUGCAUCUUCGGGUGUAUCUACCGCUGCUUAGCAUAUUUCAUGCCUCGUGCGUGUGUAUGCAUUAAACUAUAGAGACCGCUGUAUUUUUUUUAAACCAGAGGAAGGAUACGGCAAUAACAGGUCUGUGAUGCC
rnacentral:rRNA from 1 species